rnacentral:rRNA from 1 species
UACGUAGGGGGCUAGCGUUGUCCGGAAUCAUUGGGCGUAAAGAGCGUGUAGGCGGCCCGGUAAGUCCGCUGUAAAAGUCAAAGGCUCAACCUUUGAAUGUCAGUGGAUACUGCCGGGCUAGAGUCCGGAAGAGGCGAGUGGAACUCCUGGUGUAGCGGUGGAAUGCGCAGAUAUCAGGAGGAACACCGAUAGCGAAGGCAGCUCGCUGGGACGGUACUGACGCUGAGGUGCGAAAGCGUGGGGAGCGAACAGG